CCUACGGGAGGCAGCAGUGGGGAAUAUUGCACAAUGGGCGAAAGCCUGAUGCAGCAACGCCGCGUGAGCGAUGAAGGCCUUCGGGUCGUAAAGCCCUUUCUUCAAGGAAGAUAAUAACGGUACUCGAGGAGGAAGCCACGGCUAACUACGUGCCAGCAGCCGCGGCAAUACGUAGGGGGCCAGCGUUAUCCGGAUUUACUGGGCGUAAAGGGGGCGUAGGUGGUUUGUUAAGUCAGAGGUGAAAGGCUGGGGCUCAACCGUGGCAAGCCGUUGAAACUGGGGGACUUGAGUGCAGGAGAGGUAAGUGGAAUUCGUGGUGUAGCGGUGAAAUGCAUAGAUAUUAGGCGGAACACCGAUUGCGAAGGCAGCACUCUGGACUGUAACUGACGCUGAGGCACGAAAGCGUGGGGAGCGAACAGGAUUAGAUACCCGAGUAGUC
rnacentral:rRNA from 1 species